AUUGAACGCUGGCGGCAGGCCUAACACAUGCAAGUCGAGCGGAUGAAGGGAGCUUGCUCCUGGAUUCAGCGGCGGACGGGUGAGUAAUGCCUAGGAAUCUGCCUGGUAGUGGGGGAUAACGUCCGGAAACGGGCGCUAAUACCGCAUACGUCCUGAGGGAGAAAGUGGGGGAUCUUCGGACCUCACGCUAUCAGAUGAGCCUAGGUUGGAUUAGCUAGUUGGUGGGGUAAAGGCCUACCAAGGCGACGAUCCGUAACUGGUCUGAGAGGAUGAUCAGUCACACUGGACCUGAGACACGGUCCAGACUCCUACGGGAGGCAGCAGUGGGGAAUUUUGGACAAUGGGCGAAAUCCUGAUCCAGCCCUGCCGCGUGUUUGAAGAAGGUCUUCGGAUUGUAAAGCCCUUUAAGUUGGGAGGAAGGGCAGUAAGUUAAUACCUUGCUGUUUUGACGUUACCUACAGAAUAAGCACCGGCUAACUUCGUG
rnacentral:rRNA from 1 species